UGAUAGGCUAGGGGUGGACGCGCAGCAAUGUGUGGAGCUGACUAGUACUAAUCGGUCGAGGGCUUAUCCUU
rnacentral:rRNA from 1 species